GGCAGCAGUAAAGAAUCUUCCACAAUGGACGAAAGUCUGAUGGAGCAAUACCGCGUGAGUGAUGAAUGUCGAAAGAUUGUAAAACUCUUUUCUGAGGGAAGAAUUAUGACGAUACCUUAGGAAUAAGCACCGGCUAACUCCGUGCCAGCAGCCGCGGUAAUACGGAGGGUGCAAGCGUUACCCGGAAUCAUUGGGCGUAAAGCGUCCGCAGGCGGUUAUUUAAGUCAGAUAUUAAAUCUUGGGGCCCAACUCCAAGGCUGUAUCUGAAACUGAAUAACUAGAGUCUUUCAGGGGCAUAUGGAAUUCUGUGUGUAGGGGUAAAAUCCGUAGAUACACAGAGGAACACCAAAAGCGAAGGCAAUAUGCUGGGAAAGUACUGACGCUCAUGGACGAAAGCGUAGGUAGCGAACGGGAUUAGAUACCCCGGUAGUCUACGCCGUAAACGAUGGAUACUAGUUGUUGGAGGGCUCGACCCCUUCAGUGACGACGCUAACGCAUUAAGUAUCCCGCCUGGGGAGUACGGUCGCAAGAUUAAAACUCAAAUGAAUUGACGG
rnacentral:rRNA from 1 species